GCCGAUUUAGCUCAGUGGUAGAGCAACUGCCUUGUAAGCAGUGGGUCGCAGGUUCAAGUCCAGCAAUCGGCUCCA
rnacentral:tRNA from 1 species